rnacentral:lncRNA from 1 species
AUAUGCAACUGACAUAACAAAUAGGGUACAACUAUUCCAAAUUUAUAUUUUUACCUUAUGGUAUCAGCAAAGUUAUUCCAUUAAUCUUGCCUUAUCAAAAGACAUCAACGGUGUUAUCACACUAACCUUGUCUUAUUAAAAUGCAUCAACAGGGUUAUCACAUUAAUCUUACCUUAUCAAAAUGAAUCAACUAAUAAAUACACCAAUAUACUUGAUCAAAAAUAAAUUUGAAAUUAAUAAUAACAAUAAUAUAUCACGUCAUAAUGAUAAUGAGAAUAUUAUCAUUUAUUCGUCUCAAAGGUUUUGACCAGCAACUAACAACAGAUACCAAAUCCAAAACAUCUCCAAACUAUCAACCACUCAAACACAAACACAAAGGUCAAAUAUGUCCCAAGACACAAAGGUCAAAUAAUAUCCAUCUUGAUUCCGGUGCAUUAACCAUUGUUGGAAAAGAGGGGCAAUAGAAAUAAAGAACACUGAAUUAUGGAACAGAACCCGCAACCGACCACCAAUGACCAAGUUAGCUAUAUCAAGACCUGCUGAUACGACCCUCUGAUUCCAAGCGCUGAAACAACCACUGUCACUCGAACCACCACCUAACAAUCAACAACAAAUAGGCCUUGGAAAGCUAUAAAGCCCAACCAUCCAUAAAGCAAAACAUUGAAGCCAUAUAUACUCAAAACUCAGAUAUGGGAUUAGCUUCAAAAAUAUCUCUAGCACCGGAUUGCAUUUUCCAUUGCCACGGGUAGCACACCACAUGACUAAAUGACAAGCCCACCAAACCAUGGCAUCUGACAGCUAGAAAAACCAUCUGAUAGGAUAAAAAUCACAGAAAGUAAAUUGGCAUCUAAAGAAGCAAGAUAGACAAAUCAAGAGAAAUAUUGACCCUUUUGUUGCUCCUAUUGCAAAACACCUUUGAAUCCUUCAUUUUCUAGUUCAAUAGAUCUUGGACAAGCUUUAGGAUUCAUGAACCACUGAGAUAUAUUGACAAUGACAGCCGACUCCCAAAACAAAAACAACACCAACCACCAAUCAAAUAGAAUAAAUCAUAACAACCAACUCAAGAUUGCUUGAUACUUUCACCGGUAGCAGAUAGCAGAAACAACAUCGAAGAAUGAAAAAUAUCAUCAAGCCAAAUCAAUCCAGAGAAAAAUAGUUGAUCAAAGACAAUAAAAUGGGACAACUUAUUGCCUUAUCCAGUCCAACACACAAUAGAGCUACAAACCAAAAACUAUAAUGCUAUAAUUCGAAACCAACUACAACUUAUAUUUCCUUCCGGCUACCUGAACCAGGACCCAACACUCUUAUAGAACCUCCACGAUCCAGCAGUCUGAACCAAAACCAACACAAAACUCAUAAUCACUCGGCCAUUGGAUAUUGCCACCACAUAGCUAUGUUAUGUUUGAUGUUGCUAUACUUACUUUUCAGCCAAUCCCUAGUAGUAAUUUUUACAUUCUUCAACAUCUUAUCGAGGCACACUUCCUUACUCCAAAAUACCUUGUUGUUUCUAGCUUUCGAGAUUGUGAGACCCGUAGAAAUGUUGAAUGUAAUUCAACAUUCAAGUUUG